UACGGAGGAUCCAAGCGUUAUCCGGAAUCAUUGGGUUUAAAGGGUCCGUAGGCGGCCUUAUAGGUCAGUGGUGAAAUAUCCCAGCUCAACUGGGAAACUGCCAUUGAUACUGUAAGGCUUGAAUACUUAGGAAGUAACUAGAAUAUGUAGUGUAGCGGUGAAAUGCUUAGAUAUUACAUGGAAUACCAAUUGCGAAGGCAGGUUACUACUAAGUGAUUGACGCUGAUGGACGAAAGCGUGGGGAGCGAACAGG
rnacentral:rRNA from 1 species